CCCGAGUGCUGGAAUUAAAGGCGUGCGCCACCACGCCUAGCUUAAAAUGCUACAUUUUAUAUCUGCCAAGUUCUUAAAAUGCCCACGACUGGGGAAGGGUUACUAGAAAGUGAGGGCUUUAGGAGGCGGAGCCUAGAGAAAGGAAGUUGCAUCUCAGGGGCGUGUCUCUGAGAAAACUUCCGGUCUCUGCAGGCUGGCCUACUUAGGGUUUCGGUACAGCGCAUUCCUGCUAUCCUGAGUUCUCUCUCCUGUCUGAGUUCAUGCAGUGACCCAAUGACCUUAGACCCCUGAGCCAGAAGCCCUCUCACCAUCACUGCCCAGAAAGUUGAAAAAGAAUGAGGCUCUUUUUCUUCCCAUCGUUUAAAAGCAAAAACAUUUCAGAAGGAGGCCAGCCUUGGAACGCCUGGCAACACGAUCCGAGAGAGGCAUGCCCGGGCUCUGAGGGAGAGAGACAAACGACAGACAUGCAGCUAACUGGAUGGAAAGUUGGAUUUGAUUCUCUCUUAGGUGUGCAGCCCAGAGAGGAGUCCCAAGCUUUCCCAUGUAACUGAUGUGGGGAUGAAGUAUGGGUGGUUGGGACCACUCAAGGACCAGCAUCCCUCCUAAAGCCCCAAAUCUGGAGAUUUCCCACCGCAAAGCACCUGAUCUAAAUGAAAAUGGCACCUCUGGAGACCCACUAAACCCGGAAGUUGCCUGCAUCUGAGGACGGUCCUACCGUGGCCAAGGCGUCAGCCCCUGGGGACAGAGGCCCAGCAUCUGAGGAAGGGAUGUAGAUUCCAGAAGAUGGCCGCAGAUUGUCCACUCCCCCCCCCCCCAAGUCAACCAAGGUCACCCUGCCGCGGAUAUACUGUGCUGUCUGUCGCCUCCUUGGCUUCCUUGGGGAAUUGGGCCAGGCACAAGAAGUCCAGACACGUGGGGCCAUCAACAGUGUCUUGGAGGAAGAAUACGGAGACCCUUCUGGACAAGGGGAAGAACUUGAAGACUAGUGACUGAGCCAUGCUCACGUUUGCUAGUAGCUGGCUCCAACAUACCCUCUUGGAUAUGCCCUCGUGGACUGGAAUCCUGGCAGGGGUGGGGGGCACAGCGGAGUAAAGAACGUCUUUCAUGGCAAAAGAAUAUUUCCUUCUUAAAAGGACUAAAGGCUGUCCUGUGAAUACUCUGGAAGCUGAGGCAGGAGGAUGGAUCCAGGUCAGACUUAAUACAUAUUACAACCUUUUCACACACACACAAAGAGAAAGAGAGAGAGAGAGAGAGAGAGAGAGAGAGAGAGAGAGAGAGAGCGCUAGCUGACUGCUUUACCAUUAGGAGACAGAGAGAGAGAGAGAGAGAGAGAGAGAGAGAGAGAGAGCGCUAGCUGACUGCUUUACCAUUAGGAAGCCACCAGUAAAGAAAACACAAUUAUUCCCAGUCUAUAGGUGAGAACACUGAGGCCUCUCAAGGUUAUGAGACUAGGCAGCAGGCUGUGGCACUUGUUAACAGGUCCUCAGUUUUGUCCAGUGGGCUCCCUCUGUGCUUAUUCUAGCAAUGGAUAUGAGGAGGUUUUAGAUGAAGUAUGUCUCUAUGGGCCAUCUUUGAAAAGCAGGACCUGAUGGAUUCAUUACUGUUAGCUAAUUAUAAUCCUUUAUAUCCUGUGUCUUUAGUCAUCCCCAUGGUGUCUUCAUUAGUGAUCCCUGGUCCAAAGUGCAAUCAAAACUCUCCCUUCAGCUGGUACGAGGUCUGCCAUCUCGGAGAGUGGUCCUGGUGUGGAUGUGCCUUCCCACUGACUAGGGUCAGGGGUUUGGGACAUAAAGAGCUCAGAAGCCUGCUACAUCCUCUUUGAUGUGUCACAUGUGGACAACCCUAGUGGCAGCUUGUCUUAUUUUAAGUUAGAGACCCAGGAUCACCAGCCAAAGGCUUAUUUUCUCUUUCUGGAGGCUUCACCAACCUGAAGGGAUGAAGAGAUGGGCAGGAAUUAGCUCCUUCCAAUGGGAAUUAACCACAGGGAAACAGUCUUUGGGACUCUGACACAAUGGGUGAGCUCAGGACCCAUUCCAUUCCGAUCUGAGAUGUGUGUGUUUCCGGUCCUUUCUGGAACAUUCUGUGUUUGCCUCCCUCAAGGCCUGACACCCACACCUCUGCCCUAACAAGGCCUUCAUGACUCUUGGGCAGACUGCUCCCACCACCCUCCACAAAGCGCUUGCCUGCUAGCAUGCAUGAGACUGCCGUUAAGCUGAAGUCAAGCAUGCCCAGCAGUUCCACUCCUAGGCUCCGCUACUAGUGCAUUUCUUACAGAGCAAGAGUGCCGCGCAGAAAGAAGCUUACCUUUGUCCUCACCCCAUCUCCAUAGUUCCGGGCCAGAGACUCUACCUACAGGGAGAAGACUCAUGGUCUCCCAGAGGAACAGGAUUCAUUUGCACCAGAAUGUGGAGAAGAAGCCUCUUGCAAACAGAUUGGGAUGCUGUGUAGCUUGAUGAAGAACUGUAAGGACUGGAGAGAUGGCUCAGUGGUUAAGAGCACUGACUUCUCUUCCAGGGGUCCUGAGUUCAAUUCCCAGCAACCACAUAGUGGCUCACAACCAUCUCUAAUGGAAUCAGAUGCCCUCCUCUGGUAUGUCUGAAGAUAGCAGCAGUGUACUCACAUACAUUAAAUAAAUAAAUAUUAAAAAGAAAAAAA